AUUCCAGCUCCAAUAGCGUAUAUUAAAGUUGUUGCAGUUAAAAAGCUCGUAGUUGGAUUUCGGAUGAAUGCGACCGGUCCGUCGUUACGAUGUGUACUGGUUGCGUCCAUCUUGCUGUCGGGGACGCGCUCCUGGCCUUAACUGGCUGGGACGCGGAGUCGGCGAAGUUACUUUGAAAAAAUUAGAGUGUUCAAAGCAGGCUUACGCUCUGAAUACAUUAGCAUGGAAUAACGCGAUAGGACUCUGGUCUUAUUGUGUUGGUCUUCGAGACCGGAGUAAUGAUUAAGAGGGACAGUUGGGGGCAUUCGUAUUUCAUUGUCAGAGGUGAAAUUCUUGGAUUUAUGAAAGACGAACUUCUGCGAAAGCAUUUGCCAAGGAUGUUUUCAUCA
rnacentral:rRNA from 1 species